CACGUAGGGCGCAAGCGUUGUCCGGAAUUAUUGGGCGUAAAGAGCUCGUAGGCGGUCUGUUGCGUCCGCUGUGAAAACUCGGGGCUUAACCCCGAGCCUGCAGUGGAUACGGGCAGACUAGAGGUAGGUAGGGGAGAAUGGAAUUCCCGGUGUAGCGGUGAAAUGCGCAGAUAUCGGGAGGAACACCGGUGGUGUAGACGGCUCUCUGGACCGUAACUGACGCUGAGGCACGAAAGCGUGGGUAGCAAACAGG
rnacentral:rRNA from 1 species